CAGUCGCCACGGUAAUACAGAGGGUGCGAGCGUUAAUCGGAUUUACUGGGCGUAAAGCGUGCGUAGGCGGCUUCUUAAGUUGGAUGUGAAAUCCCUGAGCUUAACUUAGGAAUUGCAUUCGAUACUGGGAAGCUAGAGUAUGGGAGAGGAUGGUAGAAUUCCAGGUGUAGCGGUGAAAUGCGUAGAGAUCUGGAGGAAUACCGAUGGCGAAGGCAGCCAUCUGGCCUAAUACUGACGCUGAGGUACGAAAGCAUGGGGAGCAAACAGGAUUAGAUACCCGGGUAGUCCCUGUCUCUUAUAC
rnacentral:rRNA from 1 species